ACUUAAGCAUAUCAAUAAGCGGAGGAAAAGAAACCAACAGGGAUUGCCUUAGUAACGGCGAGUGAAGCGGCAACAGCUCAAAUUUGAAAUCUGGCCCUCGGGUCCGAAUUGUAAUUUGUAGAGGAUGAUUUUGGUGCGGUAUCUUCCGAGUUCCUUGGAACAGGACGCCUUAGAGGGUGAGAGCCCCGUACGGUUGAAUGCCUAGCCUCUGUAAAUCUCCUUCGACGAGUCGAGUAGUUUGGGAAUGCUGCUCUAAAUGGGAGGUAAAUUUCUUCUAAAGCUAAAUAUUGGCCAGAGACCGAUAGCGCACAAGUAGAGUGAUCGAAAGAUGAAAAGCACUUUGAAAAGAGGGUUAAAUAGCACGUGAAAUUGUUGAAAGGGAAGGAUUUGUGACCAGACUUUUUCUGGGCGGAUCAUCCGGGGUUCUCUCCGGUGCACUUUGCCCAGUAAAGGCCAGCAUCGAUUUUCGGCGGCGGAUAAAAGCAGUGGGAAUGUGGCUCCCCACGGGGAGUGUUAUAGCCCAUUGUAUAAUACGCUGCUGGGGAUCGAGGUACGCGCUUCUGCAAGGAUGCUGGCGUAAUGGUUAUCAAUCACCCGUCUUGAAACACGGACCAAGGAGUCGAACAUUUAUGCGAGUGUUUGGGUGUUAAACCCUCACGCGUAAUGAAAGUGAACGGAGGUGAGAGCCCGUACGGGUGCAUCAUCGACCGAUCCUGAAGUUUUCGGAUGGAUUUGAGUAAGAGCAUAACUGUUCGGACCCGAAAGAUGGUGAAMWAKGCGUGGAUAGGGUGAAGCCAGAGGAAACUCUGGUGGAGACUCAMAGCGGUUCUGACGUGCAAAUCGAUCGUCAAAUCUGCGCAUGGGGCGAAAGACUAAUCGAA
rnacentral:rRNA from 1 species